rnacentral:rRNA from 1 species
UACAGCCAUAUCAUGUUGAAAGACCAGUUCUCAUACGAUCAUCAAAGUUAAGCAACAUCGAGCCAGGUCAGUACUUAGAUGGGUGACCACUUGGGAAUACCAGUUGUUGCAAG